CCUUCCAGAGCUCAUUGAUCGCCGAAGCUUCGAGACAGUGACAACAAGAGAGCUAAUCUGUGUUGAUUUAUCACCUGACUAUCCUACGCCAUCUUGAAAAUAUUGAUAGGAGUAUCGCCAUCUUAAUCCGCACGAAAUCGGGAAACAACACCUCACCCGUUCUAGAACCUUCGGCAAGACCCUCUCCAAGACACCAGAGAACACCUACAUAGGCCUACAUACUCUACACUCGCUCCUCAACCCGAAGCUCGCAAUGGCCGCCCUGCCCGUCGACGCCGCCCGCGAAGCCGCCAUGUCCGAGGAGCUGACCCGCUUCUGGUCGAGCAUGGGGCGGAGGUUCGAGUGGGAGCGCCCCAACCCGCAGAGCUUCCUGGGCCGCCCGCUCGCCCGCGCCAACACCUGGGAGGACCUCGUCGCGCCCCUGGGACAGACUCUCCCCGACGCCCCCCAGUACUCGAAGGAGGAUGUGGCCAAGGAGGAGGUCGAGGAGCAGGCCGCGCAGGUGGACGGGUUCCUGGCGAAGGCGGGGCUGGAGAGCGACCUCGACCUGCAGGAGGACGUGCUGCAAGGUUGCGUCAGCAGGUCAGAUUCGCCAGCCGACUGCGUGGUGGACGGGGCGCGGAUCGGAGACGUGCCCGCGAGGUACGUGGUCAGGGGUCUGCAGGGCCACGAGCUGCCGGUGGUGGGCACCUACGUGGACCCCAACAUCGUCACGGGCUUCUGCUACCAGGUCCGCCCGGUCGAUGCCAAGAAGGCGCUCUUCCAGGUAAGGAGGGUUUCCUCGGGGCUUCCUGGUCGCAUCACCUUCGCCAGCGACAAGCACAACAUCAACGACAACUACUUCUGGUCCGACACACACCCCGAGGGCUACGGCUUCGCCCUCCGCCUGGUGCAGGAGGGGGACAAGUUCACCCUCAGGGACGCCAACGGGUACUCCGUCGCCACGGCUGAGGUCAUCGGCCUCUUGGGCCCCCAGACCGAGGUGAGCCACAGAGUCCUGGAGAACGGCGGGAUAGAGAAGAGGGCGCAGGUGUCCGUCCUGUGCAACGUGUCCUACUUCGACGAGCCCCACGCCGAGCUCAGGCCCGUGGCCAUCUCGGGCGUCGCCGUGUCCCUGAGGGCCAAGGGCGCCAGGGCCGUGGCCUCCCUCAAGAAGAUUAAGGAGUGCAGCGUCGGCGGCGAGCGAGGCUACACGCUGGUGGCCGGCGUGGACUCCUCUUCCCGCGUCACGAUGCUCAGCGGGGACAAGAUCGGCGACGUGCCCACCAAGUACUACGUCACCGGCCUCCUUCCUCACGAGCAGCCCGUGGCGGGCACCUUCGUGGACCCGAGGAUCCUCACGGGCUUCAGCUACCGCGUGCGCCCGGCCGACGCCAAGAAGCACCUCGGUAGGCCCCCUCGUCCUGCAGGGGAUCGGCAGGGGCUACGGCAAGAGGCUGACCUUCGCCAGCACCAGUCUCAACAACAACGAAAACUACUUCUGGAGCGACUCUCACCCCGAGGGCUACGGCUUCUCCAUCCAGGCGGUCGUCCCCGGAGACAGUUUCAGAAUCAUGAGUUCUUCGGGCGAGGAGGUCGGGCGCGCGCAGGUGUUCCGCGCCGACCUGCCGCAGGUGGAGGAGAGCUCGACCGUCUCGAGCGAAGGCCACGUCACCAAGAGGGUCCGCGUCACCGUCACCUGCGACGUCACCUUCCACGGCGAGGACGACCGCACUCUCGCUGUCACGGGCACGGCCGUGGUGGUCCGGCGGGGACGCGUGGCCCGGGCGCUGAGGCUGGAGGACGUCGCCAUCGGGUCCCAGAUCAGCGUCCUGUUCAGCCGAGCCAGCGAGACCCUCACCUUCGUCCGGGAGUGAUCCGUCUCCGGUUGAAAUUGCGAUAAAAAAUAUAUAUUUAUUUCUCUUCUUCCCUUUCUUCCUUUUCGUCGUGAUGCUAUUCUGUAUUCUCCUCUUUUUCCUUGUCUUCUUCGUCGAGAUUUUCUUUCGACUGUGAUUCUCCAAGGACUCUGAGGAUGCUUUUAACUCGCACGUCGAUUAUUUUUUAUAUAUCCAGAAAAAGUAGUUUUACUUACGUUAAAUUAUUAUUUAAAUAUAAAUAUAUAUUUAGAGAAACAGAGAGAGAGACGCGCUAUAAUGCUCAAAUGUUAUUAAGUGAUAUUUUGAAAGAAAGAAUGAUGUAUGUUGUAUUUGAAUGCUUGCAAAGACUCCAUUAUACGAUGUUUGUAGCGAAUGUUUCAUAAAACGUAUUUUCGAAAUGUUUGCAAUGUGCCGCUACUCAUUGCAUACAUGAUAUUUUAUGAUAAAAGUCUUAAAAUAAUAAAGUUAUUUUAUGAGA